rnacentral:rRNA from 1 species
ACCAGACUCCUACGGGAGGCAGCAGUGGGGGAUAUUGCACAAUGGGGGGAACCCUGAUGCAGCGACGCCGCGUGGGUGAAGAAGCGCCUCGGCGCGUAAAGCCCUGUCAGCAGGGAAGAAAAUGACGGUACCUGAAGAAGAAGCCCCGGCUAACUACGUGCCAGCAGCCGCGGUAAUACGUAGGGGGCAAGCGUUAUCCGGAUUUACUGGGUGUAAAGGGGGCGCAGACGGCGAUGCAAGCCAGGAGUGAAAGCCCGGGGCCCAACCCCGGGGCUGCUCUUGGAACUGCGUGGCUGGAGUGCAGGAGGGGCAGGCGGAAUUCCUGGUGUAGCGGUGAAAUGCGUAGAUAUCAGGAGGAACACCGGUGGCGAAGGCGGCCUGCUGGACUGCAACUGACGUUGAGGCCCGAAAGCGUGGGGAGCAAACAGGAUUAGAUACCCCAGUA